rnacentral:rRNA from 1 species
CACGUAGGGCGCAAGCGUUGUCCGGAAUUAUUUGGGCGUAAAGAGCUCGUAGGCGGUUUGUCGCGUCGACUGUGAAAACCUGGGGCUUAACUCUGGGCCUGCAGUCGAUACGGGCAGACUAGAGUUCGGUAGGGGAGACUGGAAUUCCUGGUGUAGCGGUGAAAAUGCGUAGAUAUCUGGAGGAACACCGAUGGCGAAGGCGGCAUCUGGACCAAUAUUGACGCUGAGGAGCGAAAGCCAGGGGAGCAAACGGG